UUUCUGCCGAGGACGACCGGUCCGCCCUCCGGGUGAGCAUCUGGUUCGGCCUUGACAUCUUCUUGGUGAACGUAGCUGCACUUGACUGUGUGGUGCGGUACCCAGGACUUUUACUUUGAGGAAAUUAGAGUGUUUCAAGCAGGCAUACGCCUUGAAUACAUUAGCAUGGAAUAAUAAGAUAGGACCUUGGUUCUAUUUUGUUGGUUUCUAGAGCUGAGGUAAUGAUUAAUAGGGAUAGUUGGGGGCAUUCGUAUUUAACU
rnacentral:rRNA from 1 species